rnacentral:rRNA from 1 species
AAAGAUGGUCUUGCUAUCACUAAGAGAUUGGUCCCCGCGGUGUAUUAGUUAGUUGGUGAGGUAAUGGCUCACCAAGACAAUGAUACAUAGCCGAGUUGAGAGACUGACCGGCCACAAUGGGACUGAGACACGGCCCAUACUCCUACGGGAGGCAGCAGUAGGGAAUCUUCCACAAUGGACGAAAGUCUGAUGGAGCAACGCCGCGUGUGUGAUGAAGGGUUUCGGCUCGUAAAACACUGUUGUAAGAGAAGAAUGACAUUGAGAGUAACUGUUCAAUGUGUGACGGGUAUCUUACCAGAAAGGAACGGCUAAAUACGUG